UACGUAGGGGGCUAGCGUUGUCCGGAUUUAUUGGGCGUAAAGAGCGUGUAGGCGGCUUUACAGGUCCGUUGUGAAAUCUCGGGGCUUAACUCCGAAACUGCAUUCGAUACUGCCGUGCUUGAGGACUGGAGAGGAGACUGGAAUUUACGGUGUAGCGGUGAAAUGCGUAGAUAUCGUAAGGAAGACCAGUGGCGAAGGCGGGUCUCUGGACAGUUCCUGACGCUGAGGCACGAAGGCCAGGGGAGCAAACGGG
rnacentral:rRNA from 1 species